CCUACGGGUGGCUGCAGUGAGGAAUAUUGGUCAAUGGGCGAGAGCCUGAACCAGCCAAGUCGCGUGAAGGAUGACGGUCCUACGGGUUGUAAACUUCUUUUGUUAGGGAGCAAUUCGGUCCACGCGUGGGCUUAGCGAGAGUACCUGCAGAAUAAGCAUCGGCUAACUCCGUGCCAGCAGCCGCGGUAAUACGGAGGAUGCGAGCGUUAUCCGGAUUUAUUGGGUUUAAAGGGUGCGUAGGCGGAAUUUUAAGUCAGCGGUAAAAUGUCGGGGCUCAACCCGGUCGGGCCGUUGAAACUGGUGAUCUUGAGUGGGCGAGAAGUAUGCGGAAUGCGUGGUGUAGCGGUGAAAUGCAUAGAUAUCACGCAGAACUCCGAUUGCGAAGGCAGCAUACCGGCGCCCGACUGACGCUGAGGCACGAAAGCGUGGGUAUCGAACAGGAUUAGAUACCCGGGUAGUC
rnacentral:rRNA from 1 species